UAGCUGUAUGACCGACAGGUUUGCCGA
rnacentral:sRNA from 1 species